AGGAUAAACGCUGGCGGCGUGCCUAACACAUGCAAGUCGAACGUCUCUUCUUUCGGGAAGAGGAGUGGCGGACGGGUGAGGAACACGUGGGAACCUGCCCUUUAGUGAGGAAUACCGGCGAGAAAUCGCCGACAAGACCGCAUAGCCCUCUUUGAUGAGAGUCAAAGAAGGAAAGCUUCGCAAGAGGCGCUAGAGGAGGGGCCUGCGUCCGAUUAGCUAGUUGGUGGGGUAAGAGCCUACCAAGGCGUCGAUCGGUAGCUGGUCUGAGAGGACGAUCAGCCACACUGGGAUUGAGAACGGCCCAGACUCCUACGGGGGGCAGCAGUGAGGAAUUUUCCGCAAUGGACGCAAGUCUGACGGAGCAACGCCGCGUGCAGGAUGACGGCCUUCGGGUUGUAAACUGCUUUCUGUGAGACGAGAACGGACGGUAUCACAGGAAUCAGCCCCGGCUAACUACGCGCCAGCAGCCGCGGUAA
rnacentral:rRNA from 1 species